rnacentral:rRNA from 1 species
CUUGGUCAUUUAGAGGAAGUAAAAGUCGUAACAAGGUUUCCGUAGGUGAACCCGCGGAAGGAUCAUUACAGAAAGUAAACGCGGGUCAAACCGCGAACUUCUAAACCUUUGACGAUUGACUCAUGUUGCCUCGGCGGGUUCGCCCGCCAGAGGAUACAUCAAAACUCCUGUUUUAACGGUGUUGUCUGAGCUACAAGCAACGAAUCAAAACUUUCAACAACGGAUCUCUUGGUUCUGGCAUCGAUGAAGAACGCAGCGAAAUGCGAUAAGUAGUGUGAAUUGCAGAAUUCAGUGAAUCAUCGAAUCUUUGAACGCACAUUGCGCCCCUUGGUAUCCCGAGGGGCAUGCCUGUUCGAGCGUCAUUUCACCACUCAAGCCUGGCUUGGUGUUGGGCGACGUCCCUUUGGGACACGCCUCGAAACGCUCGGCGGCGUGGCACCGGCUUUAAGCGUAGCAGAAUCUUUCGCUUUAAAAGUCGGGGCCCCGUCUGCCGGAAGACCUACUCGCAAGGUUGACCUCGGAUCAGGUAGGGAUACCCGCUGAACUUAAGCAUAUCAAUAAGCGGAGGA